UGGGGAAUUUUGGACAAUGGGGGAAACCCUGAUCCAGCCAUCCCGCGUGUGCGAUGAAGGCCUUCGGGUUGUAAAGCACUUUUGGUAGGAAAGAAACGUCAUGGGUUAAUACCCCGUGAAACUGACGGUACCUGCAGAAUAAGCACCGGCUAACUACGUGCCAGCAGCCGCGGUAAUACGUAGGGUGCAAGCGUUAAUCGGAAUUACUGGGCGUAAAGCGUGCGCAGGCGGUUCGGAAAGAAAGAUGUGAAAUCCCAGAGCUCAACUUUGGAACUGCAUUUUUAACUGCCGGGCUAGAGUGUGUCAGAGGGGGGUGGAAUUCCGCGUGUAGCAGUGAAAUGCGUAGAUAUGCGGAGGAACACCGAUGGCUAAGGCAGCCGCCUGGGAUAACACUGACGCUCAUGCACGAAAGCGUGGGGAGCAAACAGG
rnacentral:rRNA from 1 species